rnacentral:rRNA from 1 species
UGCAAGUCGCACGAGAACGCUUCAGCUUGCUGAAGUAAGUAAAGUGGCGCACGGGUGAGUAACGCGUGGGUAAUCUACCCUCAAAUUGGGGAUAACCCGCCGAAAGGCGGGCUAAUACCGAAUGACAUCUUGAAGACUUAUGUUUUCAGGAUCAAAGAUGGCCUCUACAUGUAAGCUAUUGUUUGGGGAUGAGCCCGCGUACCAUUAGCUUGUUGGUAGGGUAAUGGCCUACCAAGGCUACGAUGGUUAGCUGGUCUGAGAGGAUGAUCAGCCACACUGGAACUGACACACGGUCCAGACUCCUACGGGAGGCAGCAGUGAGGAAUUUUGCGCAAUGGGGGAAACCCUGACGCAGCAACGCCGCGUGAGUGAUGAAGGCUUUCGGGUCGUAAAGCUCUGUCAAGUGGGAAGAACUCAUAUGGUGUUAAUAUCGCCAUAUGCUGACGGUACCACUGAAGGAAGCACCGGCUAACUCCGUGCCAGCAGCCGCGGUAAUACGGGGGGUGCGAGCGUUAUUCGGAAUUACUGGGCGUAAAGAGCGCGUAGGCGGUCUUUUAAGUCAGGUGUGAAAGCCCGGGGCUCAACCCCGGAAGUGCACUUGAAACUAAGAGACUUGAGUAUGGGAGAGGGAAGUGGAAUUCCUGGUGUAGCGGUGAAAUGCGUAGAUAUCAGGAGGAACAUCAGUGGCGAAGGCGACUUCCUGGACCAAUACUGACGCUGAGGCGCGAAGGCGUGGGGAGCAAACAGGAUUAGAUACCCUGGUAGUCCACGCAGUAAACGUGCAAGUCGCUGCAAGUCGCUGCAAGUCGC